rnacentral:ncRNA from 1 species
UGAAAAAGGCAAACUUAUUGAAAGAUAAGGACGCAAAACUAUAGGGGCUUCUAUCCAUAGAUAUGCCAGCCAGUUGCCG